UGAUGCUUUGACACCUGGAGCCUUGCUGACGCUGCAUGGACUGCCCCUGCCAGGACCCGCCAGUUCCAAAGACAGACCCUUGUGAUGACGCUGGGCCAGCAGAAUGAUCCAGAAUAAUCUCCCCAUCUCAAGAUCCUUAACUUCACCACAUCUGCAAUGUCCCUGUUGCCAGACGCUCCAGGGCACCGUACAGUGUGGUUGAAAGCGUGACCUGGCUGAAGUCAAACCCCGGCUCUGACAUUUACCAGGUGUGCAAAGUAU